UACGUAGGGUGCGAGCGUUAAUCGGAAUUACUGGGCGUAAAGCGUGCGCAGGCGGUUCUCCAAGUCCGUUGUGAAAGCCCCGGGCUCAACCUGGGAAUGGCAGUGGAAACUAGGGGACUGGAAUCUGGCAGAGGGGGGUGGAAUGCCGCGUGUAGCAGUGAAAUGCGUAGAGAUGCGGCGGAACACCGAUGGCGAAGGCAGCCCCCUGGGCUGAGAUUGACGCUGAGGCGCGAAAGCUAGGGGAGCAAACGGG
rnacentral:rRNA from 1 species